rnacentral:rRNA from 1 species
CCUACGGGGGGCAGCAGUGAGGAAUAUUGGUCAAUGGACGAGAGUCUGAACCAGCCAAGUAGCGUGAAGGAUGAUUGCCCUAUGGGUUGUAAACUUCUUUUAUAUGGGAAUAAAAUGUUCCACGUGUGGGAUUUUGUAUGUACCAUAUGAAUAAGGAUCGGCUAACUCCGUGCCAGCAGCCGCGGUAAUACGGAGGAUCCGAGCGUUAUCCGGAUUUAUUGGGUUUAAAGGGAGCGUAGGUGGAUUGUUAAGUCAGUUGUGAAAGUUUGCGGCUCAACCGUAAAAUUGCAGUUGAAACUGGCAGUCUUGAGUACAGUAGAGGUGGGCGGAAUUCGUGGUGUAGCGGUGAAAUGCUUAGAUAUCACGAAGAACUCCGAUUGCGAAGGCAGUUCACUGGACUGCAACUGACACUGAGGCUCGAAAGUGUGGGUAUCAAACAGGAUUAGAUACCCUUGUAGUC